rnacentral:tRNA from 1 species
CGACGCGGUAGCCGGAGGUAGUGAUCACGUCGUCGCUGCGGCCGACGAAGCUGAUGCUGCCGUCCGGGUUCCACUCGACGGUGUCGCC